rnacentral:rRNA from 1 species
CCUACGGGUGGCUGCAGUAGGGAAUAUUGGACAAUGGGGGCAACCCUGAUCCAGCCAUGCCGCGUGCAGGAAGAAGGCCCUAUGGGUCGUAAACUGCUUUUGUACGGGAAGAAACCUUACUAUGCGUAGUAAGUUGACGGUACCGUGAGAAUAAGGAUCGGCUAACUUCGUGCCAGCAGCCGCGGUAAUACGAAGGAUCCAAGCGUUGUCCGGAUUUACUGGGUUUAAAGGGUGCGUAGGCGGACUUUUAAGUCAGUGGUGAAAGCCUGUAGCUU